GCAAUAAUCGAAGCGCCAGGACCUUAUUAUCAUAAGUAUGAUUGAGGUCGACGAGGAAGAGGGUUAUCGAAACAUUCGGCGGAUCCCUCUCGGUGGCUUGUCGCCGUAAAGCUUGCUUAAAACCAGAGAGUAAUUUUUGGGACAAAGGUAAAGCUGACAAGACAA
rnacentral:ncRNA from 2 species